UUUCCGUAGGUGAACCUGCGGAAGGAUCAUUAUUGAAACUUCAUCCGGGGCGCCGCGGCCCUCAGCACCGGUGGAAACGCCGUGCUGCGGGGGCCGCGCGUGCACUCGUCCAAACCAGACCCCUGUGAACCUUACGGGAUGGCCCGGGUUAGCGCCCGGUGCCGUUCCGCUUUAUACAAACACUUAUCAAAGAAUGAACUGAAGGCGGUCUGACCGCUGGAUAACAAACUGAAACAACUUUCAACAACGGAUCUCUUGGCUCUC
rnacentral:misc_RNA from 1 species